rnacentral:rRNA from 1 species
AUUGAACGCUGGCGGCAGGCUUAACACAUGCAAGUCGAGCGAGCGGCGGACGGGUGAGUAAUGUCUGGGAAACUGCCUGAUGGAGGGGGAUAACUAAUGGAAACGGCAGCUAAUACCGCAUACCAUCAGAUUUGCCCAGAUGGGUUUAGCUAGUAGGUGGGGUAAUGGCUAACCUAGGCGACGAUCCCUAGCUGGUCUGAGGUGAUGACCAGCCACACUGGAACUGAGACACGUUCCAGACUCCUACGGGGGGCAGCAGUGGGGAAUAUUGCACAAUGGACGCAAGCCUGAUGCAGCCAUGCCGCGUGUGUGAAGAAGGCCUUCGGGUUGUAAAGCACUUUCAGCGAGGAGGCGUUACUCGCAGAAGAAGCACCGGCUAACUCCGUGCCAGCCGCCGCGGUAAUAC